AUUGAACGCUGGCGGCAUGCUUUACACAUGCAAGUCGAACGGUAACAGGGUGCUUGCACCGCUGACGAGUGGCGAACGGGUGAGUAAUGCGUCGGAACGUGCCGAGUAGUGGGGGAUAACGCAGCGAAAGUUGUGCUAAUACCGCAUACGUACUGAGGUAGAAAGUGGGGGACCUUCGGGCCUCACGCUAUUCGAGCGGCCGACGUCUGAUUAGCUAGUUGGCGGGGUAAAGGCCCACCAAGGCGACGAUCCGUAGCUGGUCUGAGAGGAUGAUCAGCCAAACUGGAACUGAGACACGGUCCAGACUCCUACGGGAGGCAGCAGUGGGGAAUAUUGGACAAUGGGUGCAAGCCUGAUCCAGCCAUGCCGCGUGAGUGAAGAAGGCCUUCGGGUUGUAAAGCUCUUUUGUCCGGAAAGAAAAGCCUUCGGUUAAUACCCGGGGGUGAUGACGGUACCGGAAGAAUAAGCACCGGCUAACUUCGUGCCAGCCGCCGCAGUAACAC
rnacentral:rRNA from 1 species